rnacentral:rRNA from 1 species
GUGCCAGCAGCCGUGGUAAUACCGGCAGCUCGAGUGAUGUCCAAUAUUAUUGGGCCUAAAGCGUCCGUAGCUGGCCGCGCAAGUCCAUCGGAAAAUCCACCCGCCCAACGGGUGGACGUCCGGUGGAAACUGUGUGGCUUGGGACCGGAAGGCGCGACGGGUACGUCCGGGGUAGGAGUGAAAUCCCGUAAUCCUGGACGGACCGCCGAUGGCGAAAGCACGUCGCGAAGACGGAUCCGACAGUGAGGGACGAAAGCUAGGGUCUCGAACCGGAUUAGAUACCCCGUAGUCC